GACUCAAGCUACCACUUACUGUUGAUUGUGAUGAAAUGCCAGCUGAGGCACACGCCUUGGGAGCUAAGUGGUUGCUGCCCUUGACUACUAUGAAGACUGGUGUGGGAAGGGUCGCUUUGGAUGCACUUGAGCAGGGGUCCCCAACCCCUGAGCCAUGGAGCCGUAAGGAGCCACACAGCAGGUGGGACCAUCCAGUUUCAGGAAAACAAGCUUAACACGCCCACUGAUUCUACAUUAUGCUCCUACCUCCCGGCAGCCUCGCCAGGCCCAGAACUCUCUCCAGUCAGCCUCUACAGACCAAGCUCAUGACUCACAAUGGCCUAUUUAGGCCCAUACCCUACCUCACGGCAGUCUCCGCAGAUGAGCCUACUGCCUCACAACAGCCUCCACAGGCACAGCUCCAUCGUUACAAUGGCCUCUUUAGACCCAGCUCCUGCCUCCCAGCCUUCUCUCCAGGCCCUGAACUUUCUCCGUGGGACCAUCCAGUUUCAGGAAAACAAGCUUAACACGCCCACUGAUUCUACAUUAUGCUCCUUCCUCCCGGCAGCCUCGCCAGGCCCAGAACUCUCUCCAGUCAGCCUCUACAGACCAAGCUCAUGACUCACAAUGGCCUAUUUAGGCCCAUACCCUACCUCACGGCAGUCUCCGCAGAUGAGCCUACUGCCUCACAACAGCCUCCACAGGCACAGCUCCAUCGUUACAAUGGCCUCUUUAGACCCAGCUCCUGCCUCCCAGCCUUCUCUCCAGGCCCUGAACUUUCUCCGUGGGACCAUCCAGUUUCAGGAAAACAAGCUUAACACGCCCACUGAUUCUACAUUAUGAUUCUUCAGGCCCAGCAUCUGCCUCACUGUGGACCCCCCAAGCCAAGCUCCCAACCUUUCAGCAGCUUCUACACACCCAGCUCCCGCCUGCCAGUGGCCUCUUCAGGCCCAUGGGGCUCAUUCCUCACAACAGCCUUUCCAGUCCCAGCUUUUCCCUUCCGGCGGCCUCUCCGGGCUGAGAACCUCCUCAAGUCGGCCUCUCCAGACUCACUUGCACCCUCCAGGCGUCCUCUCCGGGCCAAGCUCCUCUUCCUGGCUGCGUCUCCAGGCCUGACUCCUGCCUCUCAACAACCUCUUUGGACUCAGUGCCUACCCAUCUCCUGGCGUCCUUGGUCGGCCCACAGCUUCCUCAAGCCAAGCUCCCCAGGCCCAGGUCAGGCCUCACGGUGCCCCCUCCACGAUGAGCUCCUGCCCUCCAAUGGCACCUGCAGGACCCAAAUGGUCUCCGGUCGGUGGGCUCCUCCACGCCAAGCUUGGGCCUCCCGGUGACCUCUGCAGGCCCAAGUUGUCCUGAAGUCGGCAUCUCCCAGCCAUGCCUCCCAGCAAGUAAGCAAGCUCUUUUGGCUCAACUCCUGCCCAGCUCCCAACCGCCUUUGUAGGUCCCGAACUUUCUCCAGCCAAGUUCUUUGGGCCUCAUUCCUGCUGCCCGGUGGCCUGUACGGGCCCAGCAAUGGUUGGAGAACGGCCUCUGCAGGUCCCGCUCUUGCCUCCCAGGGGCCUCUCCAGGCCCAGCUCUUGCCCCCACGGCGGCCACCUGGGGCCA